rnacentral:rRNA from 1 species
GAUAAACGCUGGCGGCGCACAUAAGACAUGCAAGUUGAACGGACUUAAUCGAAAUAUUUAUAUUUUGAAGCGGUUAGUGGCGGACUGGUGAGUAACGCGUAAGGAACCUGCCUAUUAGAGGGGAAUAACAGUGAGAAAUCAUUGCUAAUACCGCAUAUGCCAUAGAUAUCACAUGAUAACAGUGGGAAAGGAGCAAUCCGCUAAUAGAUGGCCUUGCGUCUGAUUAGAUAGUUGGUGGGGUAACGGCCUACCAAGUCGACGAUCAGUAGCCGGACUGAGAGGUUGAACGGCCACAUUGGGACUGAGAUACGGCCCAGACUCCUACGGGAGGCAGCAGUCGGGAAUAUUGCGCAAUGGAGGAAACUCUGACGCAGUGACGCCGCGUAGAGGAAGAAGGUUUUCGGAUUGGAAACUAUUGUCGUUAGGGAAGAGAAAGGACAGUACCUAAGGAGGAAGCUCCGGCUAACUACGUG